rnacentral:rRNA from 1 species
GAUGAACGCUGGCGGCGUGCUUAACACAUGCAAGUCGAACGGUGAAACAGGAGCUUGCUCCUGCGGAUCAGUGGCGAACGGGUGAGUAACACGUGAGAAAUCUGCCCUGGACUCUGGGAUAAGCGUUGGAAACGACGUCUAAUACCGGAUACGAGCUGCGAAGGCAUCUUCAGCAGCUGGAAAGAACUUCGGUCCAGGAUGAUCCCGCGGCCUAUCAGCUAGUUGGUGAGGUAACGGCUCACCAAGGCGACGACGGGUAGCCGGCCUGAGAGGGUGACCGUCCACACUGGGACUGAGACACGGCCCAGACUCCUACGGGAGGCAGCAGUGGGGAAUAUUGCACAAUGGGCGCAAGCCUGAUGCAGCAACGCCGCGUGAGGGACGACGGCCUUCGGGUUGUAAACCUCUUUUAGUAGGGAAGAAGCGAAAGUGACGGUACCUGCAGAAAAAGCACCGGCUAACUACGUGCCAGCCGCCGCAGUAAGAC